AGAGUUUGAUCCUGGCUCAGGAUGAACGCUGGCGGCGUGCUUAACACAUGCAAGUCGAACGGGAAAUACUUUAUUGAAACUUCGGUGGAUUUAAUUUAUUUCUAGUGGCGGACGGGUGAGUAACGCGUGGGUAACCUGCCUUAUACUGGGGGAUAACAGCCAGAAAUGACUGCUAAUACCGCAUAAGCGCACAGAACCGCAUGGUUCCGUGUGAAAAACUCCGGUGGUAUAAGAUGGACCCGCGUUGGAUUAGCUAGUUGGCAGGGCAGCGGCCUACCAAGGCGACGAUCCAUAGCCGGCCUGAGAGGGUGAACGGCCACAUUGGGACUGAGACACGGCCCAGACUCCUACGGGAGGCAGCAGUGGGGAAUAUUGCACAAUGGGGGAAACCCUGAUGCAGCGACGCCGCGUGAAGGAAGAAGUAUCUCGGUAUGUAAACUUCUAUCAGCAGGGAAGAUAAUGACGGUACCUGACUAAGAAGCCCCGGCUAACUACGUGCCAGCAGCCGCGGUAAUACGUAGGGGGCAAGCGUUAUCCGGAUUUACUGGGUGUAAAGGGAGCGUAGACGGCGCAGCAAGUCUGAUGUGAAAGGCAGGGGCUUAACCCCUGGACUGCAUUGGAAACUGCUGUGCUUGAGUGCCGGAGGGGUAAGCGGAAUUCCUAGUGUAGCGGUGAAAUGCGUAGAUAUUAGGAGGAACACCAGUGGCGAAGGCGGCUUACUGGACGGUAACUGACGUUGAGGCUCGAAAGCGUGGGGAGCAAACAAGAUUAGAUACCCUGGUAGUCCACGCCGUAAAC
rnacentral:rRNA from 1 species